rnacentral:rRNA from 1 species
GAUCAUGGCUCAGGAUGAACGCUAGCUACAGGCUUAACACAUGCAAGUCGAGGGGCAGCAUGGUCCUAGCUUGCUAAGGCCGAUGGCGACCGGCGCACGGGUGAGUAACACGUAUCCAACCUGCCGUCUACUCUUGGACAGCCUUCUGAAAGGAAGAUUAAUACAAGAUGGCAUCAUGAGUCCGCAUGUCCACAUGAUUAAAGGUAUUCCGGUAGACGAUGGGGA